AUUGAACGCUGGCGGCAGGCCUAACACAUGCAAGUCGAACGGUAACAGGAAGAAGCUUGCUUCUUUGCUGACGAGUGGCGGACGGGUGAGUAAUGUCUGGGAAACUGCCUGAUGGAGGGGGAUAACUACUGGAAACGGUAGCUAAUACCGCAUAACGUCGCAAGACCAAAGAGGGGGACCUUCGGGCCUCUUGCCAUCGGAUGUGCCCAGAUGGGAUUAGCUAGUAGGUGGGGUAACGGCUCACCUAGGCGACGAUCCCUAGCUGGUCUGAGAGGAUGACCAGCCACACAGGAACUGAGACACGGUCCAGACUCCUACGGGAGGCAGCAGUGGGGAAUAUUGCACAAUGGGCGCAAGCCUGAUGCAGCCAUGCCGCGUGUAUGAAGAAGGCCUUCGGGUUGUAAAGUACUUUCAGCGGGGAGGAAGGGAGUAAAGUUAAUACCUUUGCUCAUUGACGUUACCCGCAGAAGAAGCACCGGCUAACUCCGUG
rnacentral:rRNA from 1 species